UACGUAGGGGGCUGGCGUUGUCCGGAAUCAUUGGGCGUAAAGCGCGCGUAGGCGGCCCGGUAAGUCCGCUGUAAAAGUCAAAGGCUCAACCUUUGAAUGUCAGUGGAUACUGCCGGGCUAGAGUCCGGAAGAGGCGAGUGGAACUCCUGGUGUAGCGGUGGAAUGCGCAGAUAUCAGGAAGAACACCGACGGCGAAGGCAGCUCGCUGGGACGGUACUGACGCUGGAGGCGCGAAAGCGUGGGGAGCGAACAGG
rnacentral:rRNA from 1 species